rnacentral:rRNA from 1 species
GCAGCAGCCGCGGUAAUACGGAAGGGGCUAGCGUUGUUCGGAAUUACUGGGCGUAAAGCGCGCGUAGGCGGCUUGGCAAGUGAGGCGUGAAAGUCCUGGGCUCAACCCGGGGACGGCGCUUCAGACUGCCUAAGCUUGAGUCCGGAAGAGGGUGGUGGAAUUCCGAGUGUAGAGGUGAAAUUCGUAGAUAUUCGGAGGAACACCGGUGGCGAAGGCGGCCACCUGGUCCGGAACUGACGCUCAAGUGCGAAAGCGUGGGGAGCAAACAGGAUUAGAUACCCUGGUAGUCCACGCCGUAAACGAUGGGUGCUAGAUGUCGGGAGGCUUGCCUCUCGGUGUCGUAGCCAACGCGUUAAGCACCCCGCCUGGGGAGUACGGCCGCAAGGUUAAAACUUAAAGGAAUUGGCGGGGGAC